rnacentral:tRNA from 1 species
UGGCCGAGUUGGUCUAAGGCGCGAGAUUAAGGUUCUCGUCUCUUCGGAGGCGUGGGUUCGAAUCCCAC